GGGCGAAAGCCUGAAGCAGCAACGCCGCGUGUGUGAUGAAGGCCUUCGGGUCGUAAAGCACUUUUCUGGGAGAUGAGAAAGGACAGUAUCCCAGGAAUAAGUCUCGGCUAACUACGUGCCAGCAGCCGCGGUAAAACGUAGGAGGCGAGCGUUAUCCGGAUUCACUGGGCGUAAAGCGCGUGCAGGUGGCGCGGUAAGUUGGGCGUGAAAUCUCCCGGCUCAACUGGGAGAGGUCGUUCAAUACUACCGUGCUAGAGAGCAGAAGAGGAAGAUGGAAUUCCCGGUGUAGUGGUGAAAUGCGUAGAUAUCGGGAGGAACACCAGUGGCGAAGGCGAUCUUCUGGUCUGUUUCUGACACUCAGACGCGACAGCUAGGGUAGUAAACGGGAUUAGAGACCCCGGUAAUCCUAGCCGUAAACGAUGUGAACUUGGCGUUGGUGGGUUAAACUCCAUCAGUGCCGUAGCAAACGCGAUAAGUUCACCGCCUGGGGACUACGGCCGCAAGGUUA
rnacentral:rRNA from 1 species